rnacentral:lncRNA from 1 species
CACCAUUUAAGCAAAUUAUAAAAUUGAUAAAUUUGAAUGGCUAAUAUAAUGUACAUUUGUGACUACUUGAUCACUAAAUAGAUAAUAUCAUACAAGCAUGAAUUUUACUUUGCAUAAAGUUCAAUUAAUUUAGAUUACAUUUGAUGGUACCGAUGUUUGUUUAGAUAUCACACUGUCAUUAUUAGAAGUUUUCUAGCCUUUUCGUAAAAAAAAAAUUCACUAGUUUUGUGAUUUUUCAAAAGUGUGCCACUUUUUUCAUUUUUGUAAAUUCAAUCCAAAUUUUUUCUUUUUAAAUAACCAAAAUGCCCCUAUUUUUUCUAUCCUUGCUCUUUUUCUCCUCCCACUUCUUCUCAAUCCUUCUCCACAGCCCCACUGUUGCUCCCAUGCUCCUUCUCUACCUUGCGCACUAGCGAAGGACGAUAACAAAGUUUGACUCACUUUGAAGUGGUGGCCGUUGUUUGAGGUUGCUGCAGAUAGACGAGAGUGAUGUUGCUCAGAGCAUUGCCGAAGAUAGAGAUAGAGUGGUGGAGGACGAGGGCAAUGAUCAUUGAUUUAGAAUACUUCUAAAACAUGUUCGCGAGUUGGUUUGCGAACGUGGCCACGGUGGCGAAGUAGUAGUGAUAGUGAGAGAGAAAAUUUUGGCGGAUGACGCGAUAUUACACUAUUUUAAAAAAAGUUGUACUGUUUGAAUAAUAUUGCAUUAUUUAGGAAAAAAAUUAUACUAUUUGAUACAUAGAUUAAACUAUAAAAGGGUGCAACUUUCUAGUUAAAUAAUGUAAAAUAUGUUCGAAUAAUGUAACUUUUUAAUGAAUAGUGCAACAUCUCGUCGUCCACCAGAUAUUUUUUUCUCUUACUAACACCACCAUCUUGUCGCCGUCGGCCACUCUUACUGUGAACAUGCUUCGGAAAUUUUCUUAACUAACGAUCGUCACCCUCCUCCUUUGCCACCUUCGUCUCCAUCAGAUAAACGUUGAGUGGCCACGACGAUGAGUAGGACAAAUUCGCCUUAUUUAAUUUUCUCGUUCGUAAGAGUUCACGAUGCGGACACGAUGACGAAAUUGGUUUGGAGGCAGUAGAGGUGGGAUG